UACGUAGGGGGCUAGCGUUGUCCGGAAUCAUUGGGCGUAAAGCGCGCGCAGGCGGCUCGUCAAGCCUGACGUGAAAGCCUCCGGCUCAACCGGGGAGGGUCGUCGGGGACUGGCGGGCUUGAGGUCGGCAGGGGUUGGUGGAAUUCCCGGUGUAGUGGUGAAAUGCGUAGAGAUCGGGAGGGACACCGGUGGCGAAGGCGGCUUCCUGGACAACUACUGACGCUGAGACGCGAAAGCGUGGGGAGCAAACAGG
rnacentral:rRNA from 1 species